UAAACAAGGGGUCAGCAAACUUUGUCUUAAAGGGACAGAUAGUAAAUCUUGUAGGCUUUGUGAGCCACACUGCUGUUGCAGCUUGCAAGCAGCAGUGUACUGUACACAAACAAAUGGGCAUGGCUGUGCUCCAAUGAUGCCAUUUACAAAACAGGCAGAGGGCUGGGUCUGGGCUUCCCCUGCCCUAACCUAAGCCCAGCUGGGCUUCAUUCAGCACGCUGUGUACCACUCUUGAUGGGUAGGCCCACUCUGCCCGCACCUUGAAACCUGACCAGGUCUUCUCCCACCCCAUGAAUGUAAACAUUUUAACAACUAGCCUGACUGUGAAAAGCCUGGAGAAUCCUUCCUACAGGGGACAGUGGUGCAAAGAGAAGCUGGACAGGCGCCCACACCUGGCUGGCACGCACACCUGUGUGCACCGAGGGGGAACUGACGAGCACCUGAAUUGCCGAGCCAGGCUGCAGCUAAUAAAACAGAGAAAGUAAGUGCAUCGGGCACUCCAGACCAAAGCCAUUUGCAGAAUGGAGUCACAGGCUGACAUCCAAGACUUUAGCCAGCUGGCUUCAGGCAGCAGAUGCAAAGGAGAGGUCAUGAGCAGGCCAGGCCCUGGCUAGGCAGUUUCGCCUAACAGAGAAGGAGACAAAACUAACCCGGUGGCCACGUGGCCGAAGGCACAGAGCCGUUGAGUGGCAGCGUGGCAUUUGAAUUCAGGCCGGUGAUGCUGAAGUCCCCAGGUCUUUUUUUUUUUGAUGCCCACAACAAUGUAACUACUAAUAGCCUGUUAUUGAUGCAGGCCUUACCAAUAACAUAAAUAGUUGAUGAACACAUAUUUUGCAUAUGUGUUAUAUACUGUAUUCUUAUCAUAAACGAGCCAAAGAGAAGGAGAUGUUAUUAAGAAAACGGUAAGAAAGAGAAAAUAUAUUUAGCAUUCAUUUAGCAGAAGGGGAUCACCAUAAAGGUCUUCAUCCCUGUUAUCUUCACCUUGAAGAGGCUGAGAAGGAGGAGAAGGAGGGGGUGGUCUUGCUGUCUUAGGGAUGGUGGAGGUAGAAGAGGCAAAGAAGGUGGAAGGGAAGGCAGCCACGCUCGGUGUAAGCUUUAUUGGAAAAAAUCUGCAUUUAUGUGGACUCUCACCAGGCAAACCCGUAUGGUGCUCGAGGGCCAACUGUAUUUCCACUACCGUCAUCCGCCUUGCCCAGGGUGACCUGAUUCACUGACGGGAGGGUUUGCCUUCCCAUGCGCAUCAGUUCAGCCUUCCCCUGAUGUCAUUCUUUUCCUAGUGGCUAACAGGCUGGAUGUGCAGUUGGGGACAGUCAGUAUCUGGGGUCUGGUGAGGACCCUCUUCCUGGUUUGCAAAGCAGGAAGAUGCCAGGCAUCUCUUUCUGUCCUGCUCAGUCAAGUGUGAAUCACAAAGCCUGAGUUCAGAUCCUCGACCUUGGGCAGGUGAACUUCACUCUUAUGAGUCUCAAUUUCUGUACCCAC
rnacentral:lncRNA from 1 species